GCCUGGGUGGCUCAGUUGGUGAAGCCUCUGACUUUGGCUCAGGUCCUAAUCUCACGGUUCGUGGGUUCGAGCCCCGCGUCGGGCU
rnacentral:tRNA from 1 species